AUUCACGCCAACUCGUCGAUUCCCCGUUUGAAUUUAACGCGCCACUCCGCCAUUGGCCAAAUGGCGAGAUGUGAAAAUGAGUCAAACGAGAAACAGUUGAAACGUUCGGGAGACGCGACUAAUAAAAGUUUUCCAAGAAUCUCGACAAAGUGCGAAUAAUUAUAUACGGUAAUAAAAUUCAGCAAGUACCUACUGCGUGGUACGGGAACUGUAAAAUUUCAAGCUAGAAGCCUGAAAGACGCGGUGCAGUGUACCAGCUCAGGGCCAAUUUCAAACGGACCUAGUGUUGCUACGAGGCAGUCUACCGAGACGAAAUGUUCCACGGGAACGAAGUUGUUUAAACGCGAAAUGAACGUAGGACUUCUACAAACACUUUAAAAGUAGGUGCUUUAACAAUUCCUUGGUGGGAAAAGCGGACAGGAACGGGUCGAUGCUCGAACGUACUGAAAGAGAGCAGAAACGAGUCGCGAUGCUUUCUGUCAAUAAGUAGUUAUUUUCGCGUUGAAUAAAAAAACUAACCUCAAAGUUGUGAUUAAACAAAGUAAUGUCAAAAUGAAAAAUAAUUUAUUCAGUGUCAAAAUACUUUAACCAUUUUACCGUUAUUUUAGUUGUGCACUUGACUACCGAGUGAGCGAAGGAUUCGGGAGCGAUCAGAGCAUCGGUUAAAAGAAAGUAUGAAGUGAAGGUGAUAAGUGUCAUGAUGAUAAAUGGUGGAGGUCCAGCAGGAGAAAGAGAAUAGGAGAACGAGAGAAACAGAGAGAGAAACCGAUAAAAUGAAGGUACAUCAAAGGCGCCGACGGACGCCGGCAUAACUUCCUUUGGCAGAGGACGUAGUCGCAGGAGACUUCCGAGUUUGAAUGUCCCUCGAGGAGCAUAAGGAGAAUCUCUACGCAGAUCGACUGCAAUAGAUAAAAGAUGGUUAUCUCCACCCUGCGACGUACCAUUGAAAUUGAUACUGCGAGACGUACGUUGCAUAAGGAAUGGUACGGUCCUGGAAUGCCAAAGGGGUGAAUGCAGGAACGGCAGCGACGGGAGCGGCAGCUCUAGGUUUACAACGUGCAACGAAUUACCGGAGGCCUAAAGACGAAAUAAAAGCGAAUGAAAAUUAUCAGGAUAAACCGUCCCGCGCUGUAGCUCCCUUGCUCGUGGCCUUUUAUUCGAGGAUCAUCUUGAUCGUUCAUCCUCCUCUCUCUCUCUCUGUACAUAUAUACACCGUAUCUCCAAGAACACAAGAGGAACGAUGGACCAUUGCGCGGAGUGUGCCCGGGGCUCUCUAUGGGGUCCUGGAAAAAAAGAAAAAUGCGAAGCUGCUUAUCAUAAAAUAUGCCCGCUAUGUGGCUCCAAGAGCUAUGUCGAGCAACGGAGGAGUUCCUAUGCACCACCACCCCCCGCCGCCCCCCGGGUGCCACAUAACAUUAUAUGCUUCCUGCAUGUCUUAAGCGUUGUCUGGCCGAGCGCGAACUCACCCGCAAUGGGAGCCUGCGGCCAAUUGGAAAUUGUCCCUAAUAACAGGGGAUACUCCGCGUCCACUCCUAUCGUGGAUUGCAGUUCACUCCUGCAUGCUUGCUGAAACGUCUCUUUGUACGGCUUAAAACGAUUUAUAUAUACAUACAUUUCUCAGCCUUGAGAUCUACUUAGUUUCGUAGUAGGCUUCUAUGGUUUUCAUUAUAAUGUCCUUUUUCGUUAACGGCUAAUCACAAUACAUUAAGUGGCACUUUGGGAGCAAGGUGUAGGGUGACGUUAGUCUUGUGACUUUACAGCGAUUAUAUUAUCGCACGGGGAUGGGCCGGAAGUCCGGUCGUGGAUGGGAAAGAAGGAAAUAAAAAUACCGUAAUGAAAGGACCCAGACUAUAAAAAAAAAAAGCUGGCCACUCAAACUUACGAAGGCUAACCGACCGCCGGGACUUACGUACGUUAUUAAUUAAAAUACGCGGGCGCGUCCUCACGGAUGGCAAAUGAUUCUUGGGCCUUUUUAUUUUCUACUCUUUUGCAACUCCUCGCGAAAACAUUGAAUUUCCGGUGAUUUCGAGGGACUCGCGCAAGACGUCAUCGUCGGGACUGAGGGGACCGGUGUGCCUUAAACUCGGUAGCCGCACUGCGCGUGUGCGCGUCUAGGUUAAGACAGCCACGCGUGUACGAGUGCGUGAUAUCGGGGAGACACAUCUUAGAUCCCGCUCGUGAUAUCAACUGCGCAUAUUAUGAGGCCCAAAGAGCAGAUGCUAACUUCGGUUGAACCCGGGGCCCGUUCCCGGUUCGCCUCUGGUUGUAGCUUGUGGAGGAUGUCGAUGCACUACGAGCACAUUUUCGGAUCCACAACUUAUUAUGUCUUGGCGCUCGGGUGCUUGACCGUUUCCUCACCGGUACUCAGGGCCUUGUAUACCCGGUGUAUAUGUAAAACUUUUUGUAUUUCUUGGAAAUUGUCAAUUCUGUUUUAUUUUUUUUUCAAUAUGUUUAAGUUCGAUCAAUGCAAUUUUAUGCACUUCUCAUGUAAUGUAUCUCGGCUGCUAGGAAUUACCUGAAAAAAAAAGUUCGUUUACACGAUCUAAAUAAAUGCACGUGGGUACGAAGAA